rnacentral:rRNA from 1 species
GCGUGAGUGAUGAAGGCUCUCGGGUCGUAAAGCUCUGUCAGAGGGGAAGAACCUCCUAUCGUAUAAUACACGAUAGGCCUGACGGUACCCUCAGAGGAAGCACCGGCUAACUCCGUGCCAGCAGCCGCGGUAAUACGGAGGGUGCAAACGUUGUUCGGAAUUAUUGGGCGUAAAGAGCAUGUAGGCGGUUGUUUAAGUCUGAUGUGAAAGCCCUGGGCUCAACCCAGGAAGUGCAUUGGAUACUGGACAACUUGAGUACGGGAGAGGAAAGUGGAAUUUCGAGUGUAGGGGUGAAAUCCGUAGAUAUUCGAAGGAACACCAGUGGCGAAGGCGGCUUUCUGGACCGAUACUGACGCUGAGAUGCGAAAGCGUGGGGAGCAAACAGGAUUAGAUACCCUGGUAGUCCACGCCGUAAACGAUGGGUACUAGGUGUCGCGGGUAUUGACCCCUGCGGU